UACGUAGGGGGCAAGCGUUGCCCGGAAUCAUUGGGCGUAAAGCGCGUGUAGGCGGCUUGGUAAGUCUGCUCUGAAAGCCCGGGGCUCAACCCCGGGAGGCGGGUGGAUACUGUCGGGCUUGAGUACGGAAGAGGCGAGUGGAAUUCCUGGUGUAGCGGUGAAAUGCGCAGAUAUCAGGAGGAACACCAAUUGCGAAGGCAGCUCGCUGGGACGUUACUGACGCUGAGACGCGAAAGCGUGGGGAGCAAACAGG
rnacentral:rRNA from 1 species